GAAGAAGGCCAGAUGAUCGCCGGCCCCUUCGGGGGCGGGAGGAAAGUCCGGGCUCCGCAGAGCAGGAUGGUCCUUAACGGGGACCGGGGGCGACCCUAGGGAAAGUGCCACAGAGAGCAGACCGCCCGCCCAAGCUUCGGCCACGGCGGGUAAGGGUGAAAGGGUGAGGUAAGAGCUCACCAGUUCCGGCGGCGACGCCGGAAGCUAGGCAAACCCCAUCCGGAGCAAGGCCAAAUAGGGGAGCGUUCGAGGGCGGCUCGUCCGAGGCUCCCGGGUUAGGCUGCUUGAGGCCGUCGGCAACGGCGGUCCUAGAGGAAUGAUCAUCGCCCCGUUCCGGGCAACCGGUGCGGGGAACAGGACCCGGCUUACGGCCUUCUUCGGCC
rnacentral:RNase_P_RNA from 1 species